GUGGUAAAAAUGCACAGCCAGUACCGACCGAUGAUCAAAAUUGACUUUGCUUUUGAGUGUUGUAAUAGAUAUAUCCUAUUACCAUAUAAUACUGUAAUCAUUUGUCUACGGCAUUUUUACGUUGUAAAAAUAUUUAGUUAUAUAAAGGAAAUUGUGAAAAUUCAAAGUGGCUACGAAUCGGAUGGACUGAAAUUUGCAAUGCAAUUCAAAAUUUGUAAUUUAACAAGCAAACCAAUAUAAUUCCGAGGGAAAUUUUUUGUGAAAUUAAACUGUAUUAAAAUAAAUAUUUUCAAAGAA